rnacentral:lncRNA from 1 species
GAGUGUUGCCUAGCAUUUUACCAGACUCCUUGAGGGCUCGGAUGAAUGCCUCAAAGUCAGCCUUGGUGAUCACCUCCUGAGAAGUUAGAGCUCUGCCUUCACUUUCACCCGCCUUGACAUUUGGAUUAGCCCCUGAUGAGCCAGCACCACUUGCUUCAGCAGAAAGGUGAGCCUUAGCUUCUCUAUCCUUGUUGAACUUGCUCGGCCUGAGGUGUGGAUGUAGAAUCCAGCACUGGCUCUUCUUAUGCCCCUGCCGCUUGCAAUGCUCACA